rnacentral:rRNA from 1 species
GAUGAACGCUGGCGGCGUGCCUAAUACAUGCAAGUCGAGCGAACAGACGAGGAGCUUGCUCCUCUGACGUUAGCGGCGGACGGGUGAGUAACACGUGGAUAACCUACCUAUAAGACUGGGAUAACUUCGGGAAACCGGAGCUAAUACCGGAUAAUAUAUUGAACCGCAUGGUUCAAUAGUGAAAGACGGUUUUGCUGUCACUUAUAGAUGGAUCCGCGCCGCAUUAGCUAGUUGGUAAGGUAACGGCUUACCAAGGCGACGAUGCGUAGACGACCUGAGAGGGUGAUCGGCCACACGGGAACUGAGACACGGUCCAGACUCCUACGGGAGGCAGCAGUAGGGAAUCUUCCGCAAUGGGCGAAAGCAUGACGGAGCAACGCCGCGUGAGUGAUGAAGGUCUUCGGAUCGUAAAACUCUGUUAUUAGGGAAGAACAAAUGUGUAAGUAACUAUGCACGGCUUGACGGUACCUAAUCAGAAAGCAACGGCUAACUACGUG